rnacentral:rRNA from 1 species
GACGAACGCUGGCGGCGUGCUUAACACAUGCAAGUCGAACGGAAAGGCCCUGCUUUUGUUGGGUGCUCUAGUGGCGAACGGGUGAGUUACACGUGAGUAACCUGCCCUUGACUUUGGUAUAACUUCAGGAAACUGGGGCUAAUACCGGAUAGGAUCUCCUGCUGCUUUGUGGGGGUUGGAAAGUUUCGGCGGUUGGGGAUGGACGCGCGGGUUUUCAGAUUUUUGGUGGGGUUGUGGCUUACCAAGGCUUUGAAGGGGAGCCGGGCUGAGAGGGUUGCCGGGCAGAAUGGGAAUGAGAGAGGGGCCAGAAGGGGAGAGGAGGGAACAGUGGGGGAAAGUGAAAAAGAGGGGGGAGGCUGGAGGAAGAAAGGCGGGGGGGGGAUGAAGGGCUUUGGGGUGUAAAGCAGUUUUGGCUGGGAAGAAGGGGGAGUGACGGUAAUGGGUAAAGAAGCACCGGCUAACUACGUG